UGGGCAGAAAUGCACCAGGGAAAGGACAUAACGAAACUGGUUUUAUCAGAACAGCCUGCCUGAGAGAGAUCAAGCAGGGCACAGGUCACCAGGUAUGCCCCUGGGCUCCUGCCGCAGCUGAUCGGGUGCUAGGUGCUGAGGAUACACGUCUGGGAGAAAGCAAUUGGAAGAAAUGCAAAGCUCUUCAAAGGAGACCUAUAAAGUCAUCUUUGUUUUGUUCAUUCUUCUCAUGUUUCUGCAUUCUGGGCAUUCUCCUAAAUUGGGGAGAAACCAAAAUGCCCAGAAGUCAAAUUCUGCAACUGUCAUCAUGCAAAAUGUCAAAUGAGAGAACCAAAGUAUGCUGGAUUCUAUAUUGUUAGGAAGGGAUGGUUAAUUUGAUUGACUCUUGGGAGCUAUUUUUCUAGCAUUAAGUAAUUCUAGGGAACCCUUCUGUGAUCAUCUCUGAGUAAAUAAAGAAGUGAAAUUGCAAUUCAA
rnacentral:lncRNA from 1 species